rnacentral:tRNA from 1 species
UCCUGGUGACCUAGUGGUGAAGGACCCAGCAUUGUCACUGCUGUGGCUCAGGUUCAAUCCCUGGCCCAGGAA